CGCUUCGGCCUGUCCAUCGCUCAGCUCAUUGACGUGGUCGCCCGUCCACCAUAUCUUGCCCUGGCCGUGUCCUUGUGCCAGUGGCUGUGGAUGAGGAAACCUAGGGCCAGAGAAAGACACCAAGGG
rnacentral:sRNA from 1 species